CUAUUAUUUCAUGACCUUUUAAAGUUCGCCCAUUUUUGUACCUGCGCGUGGCGCUAGAAACUAUGCUAUCGAGGUGUGCAUGUGGGUGUGCGCAUUAAACACUCAGGUCGAACAGGCAGUAAAACAAAUACGAACAGGCAGUAAAACAAAUAUGGCGGCUUUCUACAGGAUUCGAAGUGUUUCUAUGUAUACAGAGAAACUCAGGGCCUUUUUUUUAAGGAUUUUCCGGGGGGGGGGAUUUUUGAAAAGGGACCUUUCUGUGAGAUAAUAUAUUAGAGGUGGAUAGGAACGGCUGAAGGCCACGUGUGUGGCUGACAUACCACGCAUGAUUAGGGGGGUCUGAGGCCCCAGAAAAUGUUUGAAAUUUGAAGCACGG